AUUUAAGUGGCUGAGUAAAAGCUAUAGGCUGUAAACCUAUCCACGGAAAUUUUUCCCUUAAAUA
rnacentral:tRNA from 1 species